CUGCUCCGCUUCCCCAAACUGCACGAGGCCAUCGUGGAGGUGGUGACGGGGGUCCUUCGCCGGAGGCUGCCCAUCACCAACGAGAUGGUCCACAACCUGGUGGCGAUCGAGCUGGCCUACAUCAACACCAAGCACCCGGACUUCAUCGACACAGCCCUGGUCUCCGCCUCCGUCAGCAGCACCAAGAACGAACCCCUUCCGGAU